rnacentral:rRNA from 1 species
UGGGUAAUCUGCCCUGUGGUGGGGGAUAACCCGGGGGAAACCCCGGGCUAAUACCGCAUAUGGCCUUCGGGUCAAACCUUCGGGCGCCAGAGGAUGAGCCUGCGUCGCAUUACCUAGUUGGUGGGGUAAAAGCCUACCAAGGGGACGAUGCGUAACUGGUCUGAGAGGAUGAUCAGCCACACUGGGACUGAGACACGGCCCAGACCUCCGUACGGGAGGCAG